UUGGAUAUGGGUAUUGUAGCUGAAAGGUCUUGCGAGCUGAGUCAGGCUCAGGGAGGCUGUGAUGGCAAUGAGAAGUCAACACACUGAGGAUGGAGAGAAAGAAGAUGAGUCUGGGAGAGAAAGAGAAUGAUUCUUCCGGCCGAGGGAAAGCAAGAAUAUCUGUUCCUGCAACUGCACUGAUUCUGGAAACACUCUCUAUUCGAACUCUCUUGAGAUGGACCGAAAAUGCUGAUGCCAAUGCCAAGGAAAAAAGUGUCUUGAAAAAGCAGCCUUGGACGUGGAGUUACCAAAUCAUCCGAAGUGGCUCCUGGAUCGGGUGGAGGAGCCAGGCUGCAGAAAUGCAGUUCAUCGCAGGAGUUUUCCUGAACAGAGAAAAGUCUCCACAGAAUAGCAAAAAUAGCAAAAACUCGAAGUCAAGGGUCUUGAGGUAUAAAUUUUCUGUGUGACCCCAGGGAAAUCGUUUCAUCUUUCUAGGUCUUCGCAUCCUCACCUGAAAAAUAAAGUGCUUGGCUAAGAAAGGCUUGAGGUUUUAUUUGGCUCAUUCUGUGGUUCUCUAGGUCAGUGUUUUUAAAGCUUCCUCACGUAUCUGCUGCGUUCAGGAGCCUUAGUCCCAAAGAGUCAGUAUUGGGUGGUAACUGCACUUUUCAGUGAGACUCUCAUGUUCCACACUAGGCCCCCAAGGAUUCUUCUGCAGGUAAUCCAUGCUGAGAAAAUCUGCAAAGUCUUUCCAGCCUGGUCCAGUCCACACUUGUUUUGCCCUUUCCAACUCUAGACUAUUGAUUCCUGGAGGACGAAGAACUAUUUUUAGCCUUCUUUUUCUGCACUGAGUCUCAGGCAGUGUCAGACUUACUUAUUUUAGGAAAUCUUUAUUGAGACCUCCUGGAUGCCAGGUAUUGGGGUCACAAAGACAAAAGUUCCCUUAAGGAUUACUGUCCAAUUGGAAGGACAUACAUGCAAAUGAAUAUAUGCCUGGAAAUUUGUUGAUUGAUUAAAUGGGCAUUUAAUAUAUUUUUUUCAAACCCAGAGACCUAAAUAUUUACUGAUCUUUCCCUACCAUCCCAUUAAAUAACAGUCCUCCAGGAUCUUUGAAGGAAUAUAAGCUCAUGGAAGGGCAGAGAUCAUAUCAGUCAUUCUCAUCCUUUUAUAGGUACUUUUGUUAAGAGUCAACUGUGGCACAGAUCAUUACUUUACCUAGAUCUUAAUCCUAACAACAAUAUUUUUAUGGAGAAGGAAACUGAGGCUCAGUGAGGCUAAGCCAUCUGGCCAAGGUCAUACAAUAAGAGGCAGAGCUCAGAGUGGAACCCAGUGUGAUAUAUCAAAAUACAGUCUGCACAUCUUUCUUCCAAAGCAUUUUUCCUGUAGCAAUUAAGUGUGCCUGUAACUUUUCAGCUAACCUCCAGAAAGUUAAGAUGGCUGUGUCUUUUAUAAGAUAUAAUUAUUUGAGAAACAAGUGACUAAAACUUGCAAAAUCUGCAGGAAAGAACUUCUAGGCUCUUUGGAGUUUUUUUGCCCUGCACCAACAUCCUCUCAAAGGCAAAGAACAGCAAUUAUGAUAAAAGAGACCAGAAAGUGAAAGGAAUAAACAAUGUAGCGAUUGCUCUGGGAAAACUGUAGCUCAUUUUUAUUUUGAUAAUGACCUCUAAUCUUCCCAGGGGAAUUUUGAGCAUGUAUCUUAUCUUAAAACAUUUUUUUGAACUUUGGCACUUUUAUUGCCUUUACAAGAACAGCUAUGAUUAAGGGAUGACUCUCUUAGUUGCAAUGGAUGAAACAAUUAAAUGUGUUUACCUGCUGACAUUCCAAACCACUUCUUGAUAGGAAACAAAGGUGUGAAACAGCUCUGGUGUUUAUGUGAACAUAAUUUUUUUCUAAAUAUUAUUUUUUUUUGUUUUGCACCCUGCUUAGAAUGUACUUUUGAUUUUCUUGAGUUUAGAUGAGGUUGACAAUCAUGAUGUAAAUCCAGAUCGAAAUAGAAUUCCUGUUGCCAUUUUAAGUUUAUAAUGUUUAACUACCUAAUAAUGGCUGGAAAUUAAGUCUGGAAUCACACCCAAGUUAUACUACAUAUUCAAUCAGGCUGAAUUUGACGUUAAUGAUAUGACUAGGAGGAGCUAGGAAACAAAUUCUUUUUUUUUUUUUUUUUUUUUUUUCUCAUUUCAUGAGGCACCCUAUACCAGCAGUAAAAUGUUUCUUAAAUCAGAGGAAAGAAUUGACCUUACAGUUUCCUUUUUUUUCUGAGAUGGAGUCUCACUCUGUCUCCCAGGCUGGAGUGCAGUGGUGCAAUCUCAGCUCACUGCAACCUCCGCCUCCCGGGUUCAAGCGAUUCUCCUACUUCAGCCUCCCAAGUAGCUGGGAUUACAUGUGUGUGCCACCACAGCCAGCUACUUUUUAUAUUUUUAGUAGAGACAGGGUUUCGCCAUGUUGGCUAUGCUGGUCUCAAACUCCUAACCUCAGGUGAUCCGCCAGUCUUGGCCUCCCAAAGUGCUGGCAUUACAGGUAUGAGCCACUGCGCCCGGCCAGUUCCUUUUAAAACUUGAUCUAGAACGCUCUUGAUUUUGGAAUUAUAAUGCUUAAUAUUUUCCUCAAUUAUGACUGCCCAGAUUUAGCCAAGGGCAAUUAGAAGAGGAAAGACUGACUUCAUCUUGACCCCUGGGGCCAGAGCUACUAUGGCAAGGCCAACUUCAACCCGUAUGGAAGAUGUGGCUGCUGAGAGCUUCCUAUAGAGCCCCUGACAUAGGAUAAAGGGAAAAUAUGUCUGUUUUAAAUCAUACUAACAUUGUGAUAAAGUAAUAUUAUGUCCUUUGAAGGACCUAAAAUAGUGCUAAAUUGUAUCAUGACCAAGAAACAUUUGUUUAGCAUUUACUCUGUGCCAGGCACUAAACUAGGUAUGAAGGAUAUAAAACUAAAUAAGGUGUAAUGUUUGUCUUCAAAGAGUUUCUUUAUCCUGCAAGAAAUUAGAGAUGGCUAAAUUUUAAAAAAUUUUUAUUAAGGUAUUUUUAUUUUUUUUUAAUUCAUAAAAUCCAGAUCCUGCACAAGAUAGCUGGACUUCUCUAAGGAAUCAGAAUUAUAAGGAAAACAUAUUGAUUGUUUCCCUUUGUUAGUGAAAAUAAUACAUUCAGAUUUGAAAUGGUCAAUUGUUCACAGUGAUUUUUGGCUGUUAUGAAUAAAGCUGUUAUGAACAUAUGUGUAAGUCUUUGCAUGGACAUAUAUUUUCAUUUCCCUUUGGCAAAUACCUUGGAAUGGAAAUUGUUAGGUCAUGUAAUAUGUAUAUAUUUACAUUUAUGAGAAACUGCCAAACUUUCUGAAAUGGUUGUCCUGUUUUACACUCCUGCCUGUAAUGCAUGAGAAGUCUAGUUGAUUCAUAUGGACACCAACACUUAGUAUUAUUAGUCCUUUCACUUUUAAUCAUUCUAGUGGAUGUGCAGAGAUAUUUCAUUGUGGUUUUAAUUUGCAUUUCCAGGUAACUGUUGAUAAUGAGCAUCUUCUUAUGUGCUCAUUGGUCAUUCAAAUAGCUUAUUUUGUAAAGUGUCUUUUGCUCAUUUUGAAAUUGUAUUGUUUGACUUAUUGAGUUGUAGUGUUCUUUAUAUAUUUUGGAUACAAGUCCUUUGCCAUGUAUGUAAAUUGUAAAUAUUUUCUCCCAGCCUGUGCUUUACGUUUUCAUUUUUUCAGCAGUAUUUUUCAGUAAACAAGAGUUUAAAGUCCAA